AUUGAACGCUGGCGGCAGGCCUAACACAUGCAAGUCGAGCGGAGCGGCGGACGGGUGAGAAAUGCCUAGGAAUCUGCCUGGUCGUGGGGGAUAACGUCCGGAAACGGGCGCUAAUACCGCAUACUCUCAGAUGAGCCUAGGUCGGAUUAUCUAGUUGGUGGGGUAAAGGCCUACAAAGGCGACGAUCCGUACCUGGUCUGAGAGGAUGCUCAGUCACACUGAAACUGAGACACGGUCCAGACUCCGACGGGAGGCGGCAGUGGGGAAGAUUGGACAAUGGGCGAAAGCCUGUUCCAGCCAUGCCGCGUGUGUGAAGAAGGUCUUCGGAUUGUAAAGCACUUUAAGUUGGUAGGCGUUACUAACAGAAUGAGCACCGGCUAACUCCGUGCCAGCAGCCGCGGUAAUAC
rnacentral:rRNA from 1 species